CUCCGUGCCUCCGUGCCUCCCUCUCUUGCGCACACACAUUCCUCAGCUGUCCGAUUUUUAUUUUAUCUUGUUAUCUAGCCCUUCCAACUCACUCACUCAAUCCUACUGACUUUAUAUUUUAUAUGUAUCAUUCAGUGCUGGCUGGCUGGCUGGCUGGCUGGCUGGCUGGCUGGCUGGCGCGUACACGCGCACAGGCGGGCACGCACGCACGCACGCACGCACGCACGCACGCACACGACAGAUGGGGUGGUGGGAGAGUGGAGCAUUGUGGUGAGGAGGGUAUUGGCUGUUUGUUUGAAUAAAACAAUUCAUUUCAUUUAUUUUCUUCUGCUCUGUAUCCAGGCUGGAUCCACCAUCCAUCCACCUUGCCGGUCUGGAUUGACUGCAACUGUCCUCCUUCCUUCCCCGAGUCACGAAACGAAUCACACACAUACAACAAAAGAAGAAAUUUAGGAAGACAUCUCUUCCCCUACAACCCCACCCAUGCCCUGCCCUCUUCCUCGGUAUACUUAAAUAAAUAAAUAAAUAAAUAAAUAAAUAAAUAAAUAAAUAAAUAAAUAAAUAAACCAAAGAAUGAA